rnacentral:rRNA from 1 species
UUUGACGGUACCUGAAGAAUAAGUAUCGGCUAACUUCGUGCCAGCAGCCGCGGUAAUACGAGGGAUGCAAGCGUUAUCCGGAAUUAUUGGGCGUAAAGCGUCUGUAGGCGGAUAAAAAAGUAUUUUCUUAAAACUUUGAGCUUAACUCAAAAAAAAGAAAAUAUACUAUUUAUCUAGAGUUUAAUUAGGGUAAAGGGAAUUUUUAAUGGAGCGGUGAAAUGCGUUGAUAUUGAAAGGAAGGCCAAUAGCGAAAGCACUUUACUGGAUUAAUACUGACGUUAAGAGACGAAAGCUAGGGGAGCAAACAGGAUUAGAUACCCUGGUAGUCCUAGCUGUAAACGAUGGAUAUUAGGCAUUAUAGUUGGUAAUUAUAGUGUCGUAGCUAACGCGUU